rnacentral:rRNA from 1 species
AUUGAACGCUGGCGGCAGGCCUAACACAUGCAAGUCGAGCGGAUGAAGGGAGCUUGCUCCUGGAUUCAGCGGCGGACGGGUGAGUAAUGCCUAUGAAUCUGCCUGGUAGUGGGGGAUAACGUCCGGAAACGGGCGCUAAUACCGCAUACGUCCUGAGGGAGAAAGUGGGGGAUCUUCGGACCUCACGCUAUCAGAUGAGCCUAGGUCGGAUUAGCUAGUUGGUGGGGUAAAGGCCUACUAAGGCGACGAUCCGUAACUGGUCUGAGAGGAUGAUCAGUCACGCUGGAACUGAGACACGGUCCAGACUCCUACGGGAGGCAGCAGUGGGGAAUAUUGGACAAUGGGCGAAAGCCUGAUCCAGCCAUGCCGCGUGUGUGAAGAAGGUCUUCGGAUUGUAAAGCACUUUAAGUUGGGAGGAAGGGCAGUAAGUUAAUACCUUGCUGUUUUGACGUUACCAACAGAAUAAGCACCGGCUAACUUCGUG